GUGGGGAAUAUUGGACAAUGGGCGAAAGCCUGAUCCAGCCAUGCCGCGUGUGUGAAGAAGGUCUUCGGAUUGUAAAGCACUUUAAGUUGGGAGGAAGGGCAGUAAGUUAAUACCUUGCUGUUUUGACGUUACCGACAGAAUAAGCACCGGCUAACUUCGUGCCAGCAGCCGCGGGAAUACGAAGGGUGCAAGCGUUAAUCGGAAUUACUGGGCGUAAAGCGCGCGUAGGUGGUUCAGCAAGUUGGAGGUGAAAUCCCCGGGCUCAACCUGGGAACUGCCUCCAAAACUACUGAGCUAGAGUACGGUAGAGGGUAGUGGAAUUUCCUGUGUAGCGGUGAAAUGCGUAGAUAUAGGAAGUAACACCAGUGGCGAAGGCGACUACCUGGACUGAUACUGACACUGAGGUGCGAAAGCGUGGGGAGCAAACAGGAUUAGAUACCCCUGUAGUCC
rnacentral:rRNA from 1 species